rnacentral:pre_miRNA from 1 species
GAGUAUUGGGGUCUGAGGAGGAAGAGCUCUGGGGUGUCUUCACCAUGGCCUUGGCUCCACUUCCCUUCCCUUCCCCGCCUCACUUAGGACACAGGUGA